UACGUAGGGUGCAAGCGUUAAUCGGAAUUACUGGGCGUAAAGCGUGCGCAGGCGGCUUCUCAAGUCAGAUAUGAAAGCCCCGGGCUUAACCUGGGAACUGCGUUUGAAACUGGGAGGCUAGAGUGCGGCAGAGGGGGGUGGAAUCCCACGUGUAGCAGUGAAAUGCGUAGAUAUGUGGAGGAACACCGAUGGCGAAGGCAGCCCCCUGGGCCUGCACUGACGCUCAUGCACGAAGGCGUGGGGAGCAAACAGG
rnacentral:rRNA from 1 species